UGCCAGCCGCCGCGGUAAGACGAAGGUGGCAACCGUUGUUCGGAAUCACUGGGCAUAAAGAGCACGUAGGCGGCUAGGUAAGUCGGGUGUGAAAUCCCUCGGCCCAACCGAGGAAUUGCGCCCGAUACUGCUUAGCUUGAGGACAGGAGGGGAACGUGGAAUUCCUGGUGGAGCGGUGAAAUGCGUAGAUAUAGGAAGGAACACCAGUGGCGAAGGCGGCUAACUGGCUCGGUACUGACGCUGAGAUGCGAAAGCGUGGGGAGCAAACAGGAUUAGAUA
rnacentral:rRNA from 1 species